rnacentral:lncRNA from 1 species
GGAGGAGCCACAUGAGGAGGAGAGAAAAGAUGAGUGCAAAAGUCUGGCAGAGGACCUUGGACAGCUCACAAAGCACAUCCCCUUUGAAAGCAUUGGGAAAAGACUGGCUGAGGGCAACAAAAACAUACCAUCUGCUAUUGUAAAAGUUGAAGAAUUGAGUGCUGAACUACAGGAAGUGGAGAAAGUCCUUAAUGAACACUUUGAGACCUAUAACAAGGUCACACACACGCUUGGGCCCAGUGUCAGCCAUGUGGUGUUCAGUUUGAUAAAACAGUGCCUAACUGCAAAAAUGACUGCUCUAGAAGAGAUGAACAGCUGCUGAUCAGCUUAGUUGUUUUUUUUUGUACAUAUGCACAUUGUUCAAAUUGCACAUUGUUUAAAAAAAAAAAAAAAA